rnacentral:misc_RNA from 1 species
CGAAAUACGAUAAGUAGUGUGAAUUGCAGAAUUCAGUGAAUCAUCGAAUCUUUGAACGCACAUUGCGCCCUUUGGUAUUCCUUAGGGCAUGCCUGUUCGAGCGUCAUCUAAACCUUCAAGCCCUGCUUGGUGUUGGGUGCCUGUCCCGCCUCCGCGCGCGGACUCACCUCAAAUCCAUUGGCGGCCCCCGCGUCGGCCACGAGCGCAGCAGAAACGCGAACUCGUGAGCCCGUCCGGGCGGCUCCCAGAAGCUACACCCACCCAGUUUGACCUCGGAUCAGGUAGGGAUACCCGCUGAACUUAAGC